rnacentral:rRNA from 1 species
CUACGGGCGGCAGCAGUGAGGAAUAUUGCGCAAUGGGGGGAACCCUGAUGCAGCAACGCCGCGUGGAGGAUGACGCAUUUCGGUGUGUAAACUCCUUUUAUAUGUCAGGAAAAUGACGGUAGCAUAUGAAUAAGCACCGGCUAACUCCGUGCCAGCAGCCGCGGUAAUACGGAGGGUGCAAGCGUUACCCGGAAUCACUGGGCGUAAAGGACGCGUAGGCGGGUUGGAAAGUCAGGUGUGAAAUCCUACAGCUUAACUGUAGAACUGCACUUGAAACUUCUAAUCUAGAGUAUGGGAGGGGGAGAUGGAAUUAGUGGUGUAGGGGUAAAAUCCGUAGAUAUCACUAGGAAUACCUAAAGCGAAGGCGAUCUCCUGGAACAUUACUGACGCUAAGGCGUGAAAGCGUGGGGAGCAAACAGGAUUAGAUACCCCGGUAGUC